UGAUAGCAAGCUACCGGUUUGAGGGUCUAGUGUUUUGCUCAAGGACACAUCACCAUGUGGACACUGGGAUCGAACCGCCGACCUGUGACAAAUGGACAAACCGCUCUGCCGUGUCAUCGCCUCCCAAAGUCAGGAGUGCUGCAUCUUCCCUCUAAUCCGGUUUAUCAUUAAAAGUUAGGUUGCUUCACGUUCAGUGGUUCAUUACAAGUUCCCUAAAUUAGACUUGAUGGGAACACGAGAUUACCAGUAAUAUCUGAUGGAUCGGUUCUGCUGUAUUUAUUUAUUCAGUUGCUGUGCGAGCGUGGGAUCCAACAGCAAACACGUUUAUUCUACUGUGAAAUGGGCGGGGAAGGCAAUCAAUCCUGCAUUGAUCAGACCUUCAGUGAGCCCAGACCAGGCCCUGGUUCCGGAGGGGGGAGCACUUUUCUGCUGUUGUUGGGGCCGAACCUGCAGUAAAUGUUUUGUAAAGGCCCUCGGGUGUCGGGGGGACUGACACCGGGGGUUCACAGAGAAUCAGUCUGCAUCCAGGAACUGGUCCCAGAAAAACGGAUUGUCUGGCGGAGCUAUUCCUUCAACAAAACUGUCACAACCGAGACAGAACUGUGCUGGUGAAGUGCUCCUGCUGCGUCUGCAAGUUAGCUCCUGUUUAAAGAGUCCUCACCUGAGUGGCAACUUGUGUCAAGGUCGAACUACA